GGUUAAGCGACUAAGCGUACACGGUGGAUGCCCUGGCAGUCAGAGGCGAUGAAGGGCGUGCUAAUCUGCGAUAAGCGCCGGUAAGGUGAUAUGAACCGUUAUAACCGGCGAUACCCGAAUGGGGAAACCCAGUGUGAUUCGUCACACUAUCAUUAACUGAAUCCAUAGGUUAAUGAGGCGAACCGGGGGAACUGAAACAUCUAAGUACCCCGAGGAAAAGAAAUCAACCGAGAUUCCCCCAGUAGCGGCGAGCGAACGGGGAGGAGCCCAGAGCCUGAAUCAGCAUGUGUGUUAGUGGAAGCGUCUGGAAAGGCGCGCGAUACAGGGUGACAGCCCCGUACACAAAAGCGCAUGUGCUGUGAGCUCGAUGAGUAGGGCGGGACACGUGGUAUCCUGUCUGAAUAUGGGGGGACCAUCCUCCAAGGCUAAAUACUCCUGACUGACCGAUAGUGAACCAGUACCGUGAGGGAAAGGCGAAAAGAACCCCGGCGAGGGGAGUGAAAAAGAACCUGAAACCGUGUACGUACAAGCAGUGGGAGCCCCACCACCAAAGCAUUCUCUGGUGUUGAAGGCCCUGCAAAGCAGCAUCGCGGUGGCGGAGCGUCGUUUGCGACGCCCAACACACAAAACAAGCGGUGAGUGCUUUUGGGGUGGGGUGACUGCGUACCUUUGUAUAAUGGGUCAGCGACUUAUAUUCUGUAGCAAGGUUAACCGAAUAGGGGAGCCGGAGGGAAACCGAGUCUUAAUUGGGCGUUAAGUUGCAGGGUAUAGACCCGAAACCCGGUGAUCUAGCCAUGGGCAGGUUGAAGGUUGGGUAACACUAACUGGAGGAUAGAACCGACUAAUGUUGAAAAAUUAGCGGAUGACCUGUGGCUGGGGGUGAAAGGCCAAUCAAACCGGGAGAUAGCUGGUUCUCCCCGAAAGCUAUUUAGGUAGCGCCUCGUGAAUUCAUCUCCGGGGGUAGAGCACUGUUUCGGCUAGGGGGCCAUCCCGGCUUACCAACCCGAUGCAAACUGCGAAUACCGGAGAAUGUUAUCACGGGAGACACACGGCGGGUGCUAACGUCCGUCGUGAAGAGGGAAACAACCCAGACCGCCAGCUAAGGUCCCAAAGUCAUGGUUAAGUGGGAAACGAUGUGGGAAGGCCCAGACAGCCAGGAUGUUGGCUUAGAAGCAGCCAUCAUUUAAAGAAAGCGUAAUAGCUCACUGGUCGAGUCGGCCUGCGCGGAAGAUGUAACGGGGCUAAACCAUGCACCGAAGCUGCGGCAGCGAACGUAUCACUUAAAGCGAUUCAGCGGGUUACGAUUGACGGAGCGAAGCGACGUCAAAGCGUAUACAAAGUCGAGUCGGUUUAAGGAUACGUUCGUUGGGUAGGGGAGCGUUCUGUAAGCCUGCGAAGGUGGCCUGUGAGGGUUGCUGGAGGUAUCAGAAGUGCGAAUGCUGACAUAAGUAACGAUAAAGCGGGUGAAAAGCCCGCUCGCCGGAAGACCAAGGGUUCCUGUCCAACGUUAAUCGGGGCAGGGUGAGUCGACCCCUAAGGCGAGGCCGAAAGGCGUAGUCGAUGGGAAACGGGUUAAUAUUCCCGUACUUGGUGUUACUGCGAAGGGGGGACGGAGAAGGCUAUGUUGGCCGGGCGACGGUUGUCCCGGUUUAAGCGUGUAGGUGUGUGUUCCAGGUAAAUCCGGUUCACUUUAACACUGAGGCGUGACGACGAGGCACUACGGUGCUGAAGCAACAAAUGCCCUGCUUCCAGGAAAAGCCUCUAAGCAUCAGGUAACAUCAAAUCGUACCCCAAACCGACACAGGUGGUCAGGUAGAGAAUACCAAGGCGCUUGAGAGAACUCGGGUGAAGGAACUAGGCAAAAUGGUGCCGUAACUUCGGGAGAAGGCACGCUGACACGUAGGUGAAGUGAUUUACUCACGGAGCUGAAGUCAGUCGAAGAUACCAGCUGGCUGCAACUGUUUAUUAAAAACACAGCACUGUGCAAACACGAAAGUGGACGUAUACGGUGUGACGCCUGCCCGGUGCCGGAAGGUUAAUUGAUGGGGUCAGCGCAAGCGAAGCUCCUGAUCGAAGCCCCGGUAAACGGCGGCCGUAACUAUAACGGUCCUAAGGUAGCGAAAUUCCUUGUCGGGUAAGUUCCGACCUGCACGAAUGGCGUAAUGAUGGCCAGGCUGUCUCCACCCGAGACUCAGUGAAAUUGAACUCGCUGUGAAGAUGCAGUGUACCCGCGGCAAGACGGAAAGACCCCGUGAACCUUUACUAUAGCUUGACACUGAACAUUGAGCCUUGAUGUGUAGGAUAGGUGGGAGGCUUUGAAGUGUGGACGCCAGUCUGCAUGGAGCCGACCUUGAAAUACCACCCUUUAAUGUUUGAUGUUCUAACGUGGACCCGUGAUCCGGGUUGCGGACAGUGUCUGGUGGGUAGUUUGACUGGGGCGGUCUCCUCCUAAAGAGUAACGGAGGAGCACGAAGGUUGGCUAAUCCUGGUCGGACAUCAGGAGGUUAGUGCAAUGGCAUAAGCCAGCUUGACUGCGAGCGUGACGGCGCGAGCAGGUGCGAAAAGCAGGUCAUAGUGAUCCGGUGGUUCUGAAUGGAAGGGCCAUCGCUCAACGGAUAAAAGGUACUCCGGGGAUAACAGGCUGAUACCGCCCAAGAGUUCAUAUCGACGGCGGUGUUUGGCACCUCGAUGUCGGCUCAUCACAUCCUGGGGCUGAAGUAGGUCCCAAGGGUAUGGCUGUUCGCCAUUUAAAGUGGUACGCGAGCUGGGUUUAGAACGUCGUGAGACAGUUCGAUUCCUAUCUGCCGUGGGCGCUGGAGAACUGAGGGGGCUGCUCCUAGUACGAGAGGACCGGAGUGGACGCAUCACUGGUGUUCGGGUUGUCAUGCCAAUGGCACUGCCCGGUAGCUAAAUGCGGAAGAGAUAAGUGCUGAAAGCAUCUAAGCACGAAACUUGCCCCGAGAUGAGUUCUCCCUGAGACUUAGAGUCUCCUGAAGGAACGUUGAAGACGACGACGUUGAUAGGCCGGGUGUGUAAGCGCAGCGAUGCGUUGAGCUAACCGGUACUAAUGAACCGUGAGGCUUAACCUU
rnacentral:rRNA from 1 species